GGAAUGCUUUAUGCGUAAAAAGGAUUCGUCCGCCCAAGGAUGGGUCUGCGGCCUAUCAGGUAGUAGUGGGUGUAAUGUACCUACUAGCCGACAACGGGUACGGGUUGUGAGAGCAAGAGCCCGGAGAUGGAUUCUGAGACAUGAAUCCAGGCCCUACGGGGCGCAGCAGGCGCGAAAACUUUACAAUGCGGGAAACCGUGAUAAGGGGACACCGAGUGUCAGCAUCAUAUGCUGGCUGUCCAGGUGUGUAAAAUACACCUGUUAGCAAGGGCCGGGCAAGACCGGUGCCAGCCGCCGCGGUAACACCGGCGGCCCGAGUGGUGAUCGUGAUUAUUGGGUCUAAAGGGUCCGUAGCCGGUUUGGUCAGUCCUCCGGGAAAUCUGAUAGCUCAACUAUUAGGCUAUCGGGGGAUACUACCAGACUUGGAACCGGGAGAGGUAAGAGGUACUACAGGGGUAGGAGUGAAAUCUUGUAAUCCCUGUGGGACCACCUGUGGCGAAGGCGUCUUACCAGAACGGGUUCGACGGUGAGGGACGAAAGCUGGGGGCACGAACCGGAUUAGAUACCCGGGUAGUCCCAGCCGUAAACGAUGCUCGCUAGGUGUCAGGCAUGGCGCGACCGUGUCUGGUGCCGCAGGGAAGCCGUGAAGCGAGCCACCUGGGAAGUACGGCCGCAAGGCUGAAACUUAAAGGAAUUGGCG
rnacentral:rRNA from 1 species